GCGNCANCNGCCCUGGGUAAUGGGGGANAACGUUUCGGAACGGNACGCUAAUACCGCAUACGUCCUACGGGAGAAAGCAUGGGGACCUUCGGGCCUUGCGCUAUCAGAUGAGCCUAGGUCGGAUUAGCUAGUUGGUGAGGUAAUGGCUCACCAAGGCUACGAUCCGUAACUGGUCUGAGAGGAUGAUCAGUCACACUGGAACUGAGACACGGUCCAGACUCCUACGGGAGGCAGCAGUGGGGAAUAUUGGACAAUGGGGGAAACCCUGAUCCAGCCAUGCCGCGUGUGUGAAGAAGGCCUUUUGGNUUGUAAAGCACUUUAAGCAGUGAAGAAGACUCCAUGGUUAAUACCCAUGGACGAUGACAUUAGCUGCAGAAUAAGCACCGGCUAACUCUGUGCCAGCAGCCGCGGUAAUACAGAGGGUGCAAGCGUUAAUCGGAAUUACUGGGCGUAAAGGGAGCGUAGGUGGCUCUNAUAAGUCAGAUGUGAAAAUCCCCGGGCUUUAACCUGGGAACUGCAUCUGAAACUGNUAGAGCUAGAGUAUGUGAGAGGAAGGUAGAAUUCCNGGUGUUAGCGGUGAAAUGCGUAGAGAUCUGGAGGAAUACCGAUGGCGAAGGCAGCCUUCUGGCAUCAUACUGACACUGAGGCUCGAAAGCGUGGGUAGCAAACAGGAUUAGAUACCCUGGUAGUCCACGCCGUAAACGAUGUCUACUAGUCGUUGGGUCCCUUGAGGACUUAGUGACGCAGCUAACGCAAUAAGUAGACCGCCUGGGGAGUACGGCCGCAAGGUUAAAACUCAAAUGAAUUGACGGGGGCCCGCACAAGCGGUGGAGCAUGUGGUUUAAUUCGAUGCAACGCGAAGAGCCUUACCUGGUCUUGACAUAUCUAGAAUCCUGCAGAGAUGCGGGAGUGCCUUCGGGAAUUAGAAUACAGGUGCUGCAUGGCUGUCGUCAGCUCGUGUCGUGAGAUGUUGGGUUAAGUCCCGCAACGAGCGCAACCCUUGUCCUUAGUUACCAGCGGGUUAAGCCGGGAACUCUAAGGAUACUGCCAGUGACAAACUGGAGGAAGGCGGGGACGACGUCAAGUCAUCAUGGCCCUUACGACCAGGGCUACACACGUGCUACAAUGGUAGGUACAGAGGGCAGC
rnacentral:rRNA from 1 species